GGGAAUGUGGCCUAUUGGUAGAGUGCUUGCCUAGAAUGCAUGAAGACCUAGGUUCAAUUCCUCAGUACCA
rfam:Dipodomys ordii contig_1268, whole genome shotgun sequence.